rnacentral:rRNA from 1 species
GUCCACGCCCUAAACGAUGUUAACUAGUUGUUGGGAAGUAAAAUUCUCAGUAACGCAGCCAACGCGAGAAGUUAACCGCCUGGGAAGUACGGUCGCAAGACUAAAACUCAAAGGAAUUGACGGGGACCCGCACAAGCGGUGGAGCAUGUGGUUUAAUUCGAUGGUAAACGGGGAACCUUACCUGGGCUCAACUACUAGCUGCAAGCUAUCAGAAACGAUAGCCGCCUUCGAGGGUGCUAGAUAGGUGCUGCAUGGUUGCCGU